rnacentral:rRNA from 1 species
GACGAACGCUGGCGGCGUGCCUAAUACAUGCAAGUCGAGCGAAGUUUUUCUGGUGCUUGCACUAGAAAAACUUAGCGGCGAACGGGUGAGUAACACGUAAAGAACCUGCCUCAUAGACUGGGACAACUAUUGGAAACGAUAGCUAAUACCGGAUAACAGUAUUUCUCGCAUGAGAGAUAUUUAAAAGUUGGUUAUGCUAACACUAUGAGAUGGCUUUGCGGUGCAUUAGCUAGUUGGUGGGGUAAAGGCCCACCAAGGCGACGAUGCAUAGCCGACCUGAGAGGGUGAUCGGCCACACUGGGACUGAGACACGGCCCAGACUCCUACGGGAGGCAGCAGUAGGGAAUCUUCCGCAAUGGGCGAAAGCCUGACGGAGCAACGCCGCGUGAGUGAAGAAGGAUUUCGGUUCGUAAAGCUCUGUUGUUAGGGAAGAAUGGAUAUGUAGUAACUAUACAUAUAAGAGACGG